CCUACCCCCAGAGGCAUUGCCAGUGUGGCUGCUGUGUCAUGUGUGCAUCAGAAGGUGGCAGAGAGAGGCUAAGUCUAAGCUCUGUGUUCUGACCUAUGAACAGCUGAAUGAUAGCAGCCUGACAUU
rnacentral:snoRNA from 1 species